UACGUAGGUGGCAAGCGUUAUCCGGAAUUAUUGGGCGUAAAGCGCACGCAGGUGGCGUGUUAAGUCUGACGUGAAAGCUCCUGGCUUAACUGGGAGAGGUCGUUGGAGACUGGCAGGCUUGAGGUGAGGAGAGGGGUGCAGAAUUCCCGGUGUAGUGGUGGAAUGCGUAGAGAUCGGGGGGAAUACCAGAGGCGAAAGCGGCACCCUGGCCUUGGCCUGACGCUCAGGUGCGAAAGCGUGGGGAGCGAACGGGAUUAGAAACCCGUGUAGU
rnacentral:rRNA from 1 species